AGUUGAUAGAUAAUAAAUAUUGUCUAACGUAUGAAAUAGUAUAUACUGACUAACUUGAUUCAGUGAACUAUGCCACCAUCAUGAUAAUAUUGAGAUAUUUUCAGUGAUAUCACCAAAAUUAAUGUGGGGUUUUGCAAUGAUAUAUUUACAAUACAUUUGAUUUGAAUAGGAGAUAAAGAUUCCUUUUCUAAGGAUGUAAAGAAACUCAACCAUACCUUUCCUAAGGAUGUAAAGAUAAAUCAAUCGAAAACCAAUUGUCAACCAAUGAUCUUUUCAAUUUUAUAUUGAAAAAUGAAAAAUAUGUUAUUGACCUCCAUUUACUUUGUUCUCGCCCGUUC
rnacentral:lncRNA from 1 species